rnacentral:rRNA from 1 species
GUAGGGUCCAAGCGUUAAUCGGAAUUACUGGGCGUAAAGCGUGCGCAGGCGGUUGUGCAAGACCGAUGUGAAAUCCCCGGGGCUUAACCUGGGAAUUGCAUUGGUAACUGCACGGCUAGAGUGUGUCAGAGGGGGGUAGAAUUCCGCGUGUAGCAGUGAAAUGCGUAGAGAUGUGGAGGAAUACCGAUGGCGAAGGCAGCCCCCUGGGAUAACACUGACGCUCAUGCACGAAAGCGUGGGGAGCAAACAGGAUUAGAUACCCUGGUAGUCCACGCCCUAAACGAUGUCAACUAGUUGUUGGGGAUUCAUUUCCUUAGUAACGUAGCUAACGCGUGAAGUUGACCGCCUGGGGAGUACGGUCGCAAGAUUA